AGUGAACGCUGGCGGUAGGCCUAACACAUGCAAGUCGAACGGCAGCACAGUAAGAGCUUGCUCUUACGGGUGGCGAGUGGCGGACGGGUGAGGAAUACAUCGGAGUCUACUUUUUCGUGGGGGAUAACGUAGGGAAACUUACGCUAAUACCGCAUACGACCUACGGGUGAAAGCAGGGGAUCUUCGGACCUUGCGCGAUUGAAUGAGCCGAUGUCGGAUUUGCUAGUUGGCGGGGUAAAGGCCCACCAAGGCGACGAUCCGUAGCUGGUCUGAGAGGAUGAUCAGCCACACUGGAACUGAGACACGGUCCAGACUCCUACGGGAGGCAGCAGUGGGGAAUAUUGGACAAUGGGCGCAAGCCUGAUCCAGCCAUACCGCGUGGGUGAAGAAGGCCUUCGGGUUGUAAAGCCCUUUUGUUGGGAAAGAAAAGCAGCAGGUUAAUACCCCGCUGUUCUGACGGUACCCAAAGAAUAAGCACCGGCUAACUUCGUG
rnacentral:rRNA from 1 species